rnacentral:rRNA from 1 species
AUCUCAAAUCAGGUAGGGCUACCCG